rnacentral:snoRNA from 1 species
ACCCUUCUCUUCAAGCACCCUGCUAAAACUGCAAGAGUCAGGCCUUUAUGGCUGAGCUCAUGUGGCUGUGUAAGCAUGGGUACACCGGGGAAGGAGAGCAACACACAGUAUCUAAAAAUGAGGCUCGGAAGGACCGCUUUCUUAAUGUCCAGUGUCCUAUGUCUCAAGAUUCUGUGUUACAACU